GCAGGCCUAACACAUGCAAGUCGAACGGCAGCGGGGGAUAGCUUGCUAUCCUGCCGGCGAGUGGCGGACGGGUGAGUAAUGCAUGGGGAGCUGCCCAAUCGAGGGGGAUAACAACUGGAAACGGUUGCUAAUACCGCAUACGCCCUGCGGGGGAAAGGUGGGGACCUUCGGGCCUACCGCGAUUGGAUGCACCCAUGUGGGAUUAGCUAGUUGGUGAGGUAACGGCUCACCAAGGCGACGAUCUCUAGCUGGUCUGAGAGGAUGACCAGCCACACUGGAACUGAGACACGGUCCAGACUCCUACGGGAGGCAGCAGUGGGGAAUAUUGCACAAUGGGGGAAACCCUGAUGCAGCCAUGCCGCGUGUGUGAAGAAGGCCUUCGGGUUGUAAAGCACUUUCAGUGG
rnacentral:rRNA from 1 species